AUGGAGGCUGGUUCUGCAGGUGUGAUGGACAGAGAGAGUGGGGUCUGACUCAUCUGAAUAUCUCCUGUGGACCCUAAAUCAUUAGAGAGAAAGAUGCGGUCGUGUACAGGCAUCAUGAUUCAUUUUCAUAUUUUCUCCAUUACUUCAUAUUUAAAGCUCCCAGCUCCAGUGGAAUCUUCCUCACUCACACAGACCUCAAGCUCUUGUUCUCAUCCUGUCAAAGAAGGCUGCAGUCUCUGGCAUGGAGAGAACAACACAGGAAACAGUGGGAUCCCAUCCCAUUCACUUGCUCACCAUCCUCAUCUCCCUCCAUCCUUACCAGGGAUGCAGAGCAUUAGCAGCCCCAGACACGGAGCAGGAAGCCUCAUUUUGAAAUGCAGAAGCCAAUGUCCAGAUGAGUCAAGGCAAGUUGAGCUUUUAUCUGAGACUUGCUGGGAAGGGCCUCCCUGGGGACACCAAGGAAACACCCUGAUGGGCAUAGUGAGCGGCAGGAAGGGAGGCCUCUCUCUUGAGCAAAGUUGUUUCAUAUCUUGGUAUUUGGGGGAAAGCAAAAGAGAAAAUAUCCAUGUGGUGUCCGGCACUAGGAAGAAGGAUCCCAUUGUGAAAGGCAGAGGUCCCUGUUGGAACAUGGUACACAGUGCUCUUCUCCAGUAAGGAAAACACUGCCAUCUCUAUUUACAGCUCAGCAGAACAGCUCUGUGCUAGUGACAGCAUGGAGCCUGGAGAGGGCUUCUGGCAAAUGUGGUUUCCAGGUGAACUUAGUCUUCAAGGGCCCAGUGGUUAUACAACAUGGGCUACUGCUGUCAACAAAAUUUGCCAGGAACAUUAAAAAAACAAACAAAAAACCCCCCCAAAAACCCCAAAUGUCUGUUUGAGCUAGAGUACCAGGUGUCCUGUUGAGGUCAAGUGGAGAAGGUGACAAUGAUUGUGUCUUAGGUAAUCGAUAUGCAAUUCCCAGCAUUAGUUUAAUUGAUGAAUAUCCUGUCCUACUUAUCUCCAUAGAGAGAUGUUAACAUGAGUAUGAAGAUAUAUUAACAUGUAAAUGGGUAUACUAUGAACAUAUGUUUGUAUAGAAAUGUAUCUCUGAUUAUGAGUGUAUACAUGUUAAUGUGUAUCUAUUGUAUAUGAAUAAAUGAAUAUAUAUAUAUAUAUAUAAA